rnacentral:rRNA from 1 species
AUUGAACGCUGGCGGCAGGCUUAACACAUGCAAGUCGAGCGAGCGGCGGACGGGUGAGUAAUGUCUGGGAAACUGCCUGAUGGAGGGGGAUAACUACUGGAAACGGUAGCUAAUACCGCAUACCAUCAGAUGUGCCCAGAUGGGAUUAGCUAGUAGGUGGGGUAAAGGCUCACCUAGGCGAAGAUCCCUAGCUGGUCUGAGAGGAUGACCAGCCACUCUGGACGUGAGACACGGUCCAGAGCCUGACGGGGGGCAGCAGUGGGGAAUAUGGCAAAAGGGGCGCAAGCCUGAUGAAGCCAGGCCGGGGGUAUGAAGAAGGCUUGCGGGUUGUAAGGUACUUUAUGCGGGGAGGCGUGACCCGCAGAAGAAGCACCGGCGAACUCCGUGCCAGCAGCCGCGGAAAUA